GCUCGGCCGGCGGUGUAGUGUGACCUGAUAAUACGUCAACCCAUCGUGGUUGACUUCUGCUUAAUAGGACAAUUUGUGUUCAGCAAAAUGAGAUUGAGCGAUAACAGGUCCGUGAUGCCCUUAGAUGUUCUGGGCUGCACGCGCGCUACAAUGUGCGCAGCAACGCGUAUCCUUGCCCGAAAGGGCCGGGAAAUCGCUCAAAUGCGCAUUUAGUCGGGAUUAUGGAUUGAAAUGGUCCAUAUGAACCUGGAAUUCCCAGUAAGUGCUGGUCAUUAGCUAGCGUUGAUUACGUCCCUGC
rnacentral:ncRNA from 1 species